UGGUGAAAAAAAAUUGGACAAACAACAAGAAAAAAAGCAAAACAGGCAACAUGCUGAACAAAAUAUAUUUUUUUUCAGUGCUGCCAAUGCAACAGAUCUCCAGCAGUUUGCCUGAGCUAUUCUGCUAUACCAUAAUACACACACACUGCAAGGGGCUAAUUACUCUACAUUAACUCUAGCACUGCUGGUGUGAAAGAAGUGUUUCAC